rnacentral:rRNA from 1 species
AUUGAACGCUGGCGGCAGGCCUAACACAUGCAAGUCGAACGGUAGCACAGAGAGCUUGCUCUCGGGUGACGAGUGGCGGACGGGUGAGUAAUGUCUGGGAAACUGCCUGAUGGAGGGGGAUAACUACUGGAAACGGUAGCUAAUACCGCAUAACGUCGCAAGACCAAAGAGGGGGACCUUCGGGCCUCUUGCCAUCAGAUGUGCCCAGAGGGGAUUAGCUAGUAGGUGGGGUAACGGCUCACCUAGGCGACGAUCCCUAGCUGGUCUGAGAGGAGUACCAGCCACACUGGAACUGAGACACGGUCCAGACUCCUACGGGAGGCAGCAGUGGGGAAUAUUGCACAAUGGGCGCAAGCCUGAUGCAGCCAUGCCGCGUGUAUGAAGAAGGCCUUCGGGUUGUAAAGUACUUUCAGCGGGGAGGAAGGGAGUAAAGUCAAUACCUUUGCUCAUUGACGUUACCCGCAGAAGAAGCACCGGCUAACUCCGUGCCAGCCGCCGCAGUAA